rnacentral:rRNA from 1 species
CCUACGGGAGGCUGCAGUGGGGAAUAUUGGACAAUGGGCGAAAGCCUGAUCCAGCCAUGCCGCGUGUGUGAAGAAGGCCUUCGGGUUGUAAAGCACUUUCAGUGGGGAAGAAAGCCUUGGGGCUAAUACCCUCGAGGAAGGACAUCACCCACAGAAGAAGCACCGGCUAACUCCGUGCCAGCAGCCGCGGUAAUACGGAGGGUGCGAGCGUUAAUCGGAAUUACUGGGCGUAAAGCGCGCGUAGGCGGUCUGAUAAGCCGGUUGUGAAAGCCCCGGGCUCAACCUGGGAACGGCAUCCGGAACUGUCAGGCUAGAGUGCAGGAGAGGAAGGUAGAAUUCCCGGUGUAGCGGUGAAAUGCGUAGAGAUCGGGAGGAAUACCAGUGGCGAAGGCGGCCUUCUGGACUGACACUGACGCUGAGGUGCGAAAGCGUGGGUAGCAAACAGGAUUAGAUCCCCUGGUAGUC